rnacentral:rRNA from 1 species
GACAACGCUGGCGGCGUGCUUAAUACAUGCAAGCGAGCGAGGUUACUGUUUUGGAUCCCUUCGGGGUGAAGAAGCUUUAACCUAGCGGCGGACGGGUGAGUAACGCGUGGGUAACCUACCCCAAAGUCCGGGAUAACAGCGGGAAACCGCUGCUAAUACCGGAUGCCUUUACCUUGGGGCAUCUUGAGGUAAAGAAAGGUAACGCUUUGGGAUGGGCCCGCGUCCCAUUAGCUAGUUGGUGAGGUAACGGCUCACCAAGGCGGCGAUGGGUAGCCGGCCUGAGAGGGUGGACGGCCACACUGGGACUGAGACACGGCCCAGACUCCUACGGGAGGCAGCAGUAGGGAAUAUUGCGCAAUGGACGGAAGUCUGACGCAGCGACGCCGCGUGAGCGAUGAAGGUCUUCGGAUCGUAAAGCUCUGUCCUUGGGGAAGAAGGCGAAAGCUUGACGGUACCCAAGAAGAAACGCCCCGGCUAACUACGUG